AGAGUUUGAUCCUGGCUCAGGACGAACGCUGGCGGUGUGCUUCACACAUGCAAGUCGAACGGGGUAGCAAUACCCAGUGGCGGACGGGUGAGUAACACGUGGGAAUCUGCCUUAGAGUGGGGAAUAACUGGGCGAAAGUUCAGCUAAUACCGCAUAUGCCGAGAGGUGAAAGGAGCAAUUCGCUUUAAGAUGAGCCCGCGGCCGAUUAGCUAGUUGGUAGGGUAAAGGCCUACCAAGGCUGUGAUCGGUAGCUGGUCUGAGAGGAUGAUCAGCCACAAUGGAACUGAGACACGGUCCAUACUCCUACGGGAGGCAGCAGUGGGGAAUUUUACGCAAUGGGGGAAACCCUGACGUAGCGACACCGCGUGAACGAAGAAGCCUUUUGGGGUGUAAAGUUCUGUCAGCAGGGACGAAAAAAAUGACGGUACCUGCAGAGGAAGCAUCGGCUAACUACGUGCCAGCAGCCGCGGUAAGACGUAGGAUGCAAGCGUUGUCCGGAUUUAUUGGGCGUAAAGAGUUCGUAGGUGGUUUGUUAAGUCUGAUGUUAAAGACUGGGGCUCAACCUCGGAAAUGCAUUGGAUACUGGCAGACUUGAGUGCAGUAGAGGCAAGUGGAAUUCCAGGUGUAGCGGUGAAAUGCGUAGAUAUCUGGAAGAACACCGGUGGCGCAAGCGACUUGCUGGGCUGUAACUGACACUGAGGAACGAAAGCUA
rnacentral:rRNA from 1 species